GCCGCCCGCCCGCAACUGCUUCCGCUACCCCCACGGGUCGCUGUCGGGGUCCCCCGAGCGAACGGUGCCGGCCGCUCGGGAGCCGAGCGCGUGAGCCCAGCCCUCGGCGUUGGGCCCCGCCGUACGCCAAGAUGGCGGACGUGCACUUCCUCCUGCACUUCCGGCCCCGCCCGCGCCCGCUAGGCCUGGAUUGGCCCCGGCAGCGGCCCGUCGCGUCGCGCUGCGGAACCGUCGGAGCGACGCCGCUCUCAGUCGGCGGCCGGAGAGGGAAGAUGGAUGCAGCUACUCUGACCUACGACACUCUUCGAUUUGCUGAAUUUGAAGAUUUCCCGGAGACCUCAGAGCCUGUGUGGAUACUGGGUAGAAAAUACAGCAUUUUCACAGAAAAGGAUGAGAUCUUGUCUGAUGUGGCAUCCAGACUUUGGUUUACAUACAGGAAAAACUUCCCACCCAUUGGGGGCACCGGCCCCACCUCGGACACGGGCUGGGGCUGCAUGCUGCGGUGCGGACAGAUGAUCUUUGCCCAGGCCCUGGUGUGUCGCCAUUUAGGCCGAGAUUGGAGGUGGACGCAGCGGAAGAGGCAGCCGGAUAGCUACUUCAAUGUCCUCAAUGCAUUCAUCGACAGAAAGGACAGUUACUACUCCAUUCACCAGAUAGCACAAAUGGGAGUUGGCGAGGGCAAGUCCAUUGGCCAGUGGUACGGGCCCAACACCGUUGCCCAGGUGCUCAAGAAGCUGGCUGUCUUCGACACCUGGAGCGCCUUGGCAGUCCACAUAGCGAUGGACAACACGGUGGUGAUGGAGGACAUCAGAAGGUUGUGCAGCGGCAGCCUUCCGUGUGCGGGGGCCGCCUCGCUUUCCGCGGAUUCCAGCCGGCACUGUAACGGCUUCCCUGCCGGAGCUGAGGUCACCGAUAGGCCGGCACCCUGGAGACCCCUGGUGCUUCUCAUCCCCCUGCGCCUGGGGCUCACGGACAUCAACGAGGCCUACGUGGAAACACUGAAGCGUUGCUUCAUGAUGCCGCAGUCCCUGGGAGUGAUCGGCGGGAAGCCCAACAGCGCCCACUAUUUCAUCGGCUACGCUGGUGAAGAGCUCAUCUACCUGGACCCCCACACGACGCAGCCGGCGGUGGAGCUCACCGACAGCUGCUUCAUCGCGGACGAGAGCUUCCACUGCCGGCACCCGCCGAGCAGGAUGAGCAUUGGGGAGCUCGACCCGUCCAUUGCCGUGGUGCGUCCCCGCCCAUCCUGCCUCCUCGGACCGUGGGGCCGGCGUUCAGAGCCGGUCCGUGCUCAGUCCUGCUCUUCUAGGAUGGAAGGCCAGGUGUCCGCUUCUAGGAUGUGUUUUCAGUGUAUUGGAGGGUUCUUCUGUAAGACUGAGGACGACUUUGAUGACUGGUGCCAACAAGUCAGACAGCUGUCGCUGCUCGGAGGUGCCCUGCCCAUGUUCGAGCUGGUGGAGCAGCAGCCUUCCCACCUGGCCUGCCCCGACGUCCUAAACGUGUCCUUAGAGACCCGGGACUCAGCGGGAAGGCCGUGAGCACAUCCAGUUCAUGCAGCCAUCGGUCUCUGUGACGCUGAUGGGGCCUGUGUCCCUGUCCCUCCAAGAAGAUCAUGGAGGAUGGUGACUGAGCCCACUGUCAGAAACCAGAAGGGAGUCAGGGUGCCGCAUUGGAGACUCGGGACAGAUGUCCCAUCAGUCCCCAGACGGUACAGGGGGUGCCACCCCCUCGUGGGACGGGAAACCCUGCCCUCCUAGCCCCUGCCCCUUCCUUCUGUGUUCCGCCAAGGAGCGUGUUCUCUUUUCAGACGCGCCUGUGGGAUUCUCUUUCCUGCCCUCCCCUCGCCAGUUGAAGCUCCCGGCCUGCUGAGACCCACAGCCCAGGAGGCCGAUGCCUCAGCGGGGCAGUCCUGGUGUCCCCUUGCCUCCUGCUGCAGCGAGGGCGAGCGGGCCAGAUACAGGGCGUGACUCUUCUGACGUAGAGCGACUGGAAAGAUUCUUCGAUUCAGAAGAUGAAGACUUUGAAAUCUUGUCUCUUUGAAAAUCCUGGAGUUGGGGGACGGUUUCCACUGGCCCUCCCCGGGGGCACCUUCACGAGCCCGGCCCUGUCUCGGGGCGCGUGGCGCCGCCACAUUUCAUCCAUCCAGCCUGCCCGUCCGCUUAACGCCCCUGCCCCGUGCGCCUCUGCCCGCAGACGGAGGACUGCCCUGUCCCGGAGGCCUUCCUGCGAGCCCUGGGACUGCGCAGGCCCGGAGGGCUCAUCGGGCUACCAGGCACAAAUGAAGGGCGGCCCGCGGGAAGGCCCAGGGCAGCCGGGUCAGGAGCUCCUGAGAGCAGAGCCUUUCACACUUCCGAGAGUUCUCCCUGCGACACUGCCAGCCCUGCAUUCGCGCGUCGCCUCUGCCCUGCUUCCUCCUGGGCGCUCGGUUCUGGGUUUGCUUUGGAAUUAAAGUCCUGUUCGAAGUUACAAGGACAUGAAUUUCUGUGGGGCGUGUCCCAAGUCAGUCUUCUCAGAAGAGCUGCAGGGAGGACGCGUGCGGACUCAGCCUGGUCCCUGCCGGCGGCGGCCUCUGCCUGGCCUGCUUAUCAAGGGCUACCUCAGUGGGAGAUCAGGUUGGAAGGAUUCUGGCAAGGGUUCUUCUUGCUUUGGGGAGCAUAGUAAAGUGGUGGGGCGUGGUGGAAAUCCAAAGAUGUCACCAUGUGUGUGACUCACUAGGACAGGGACAUGCCUGCUCUCCCGGAGCUGCAGGUCAAACCCGGGUGGGAUGCGCCUUUCUCAUGCCUCCUUUGCGGGUCCCGGCAUUCAAGACGCCCUGCGUGCUGCUGCUUGCUUGUCGCGCCAGCUUCUCUUGGGUCCGGGUCCGGGUUGGGUGAGGGGAGGGGCUGCCCUGUGGCCCUGGGGCCUGGCGGGUGGUGUGGGGAGCGCAGCAUGCUGCCAUCCGGGGCCUUCCUCCCGGUCACCAAGGCUUUAAGAUGGUUUGGGGCCAGAGGGUAAAGCCCACAGCUUUACGGUGCAAGCCCGGUGCCCCAUCCCUCUGUACCAGUUGGAGAUGUUUCCGGACCCUUCUCAGCACUAAUGUCAGCACCUGCGGCCUUUAGCCCGCGUACUCUGGGCUCAAACUGCACCACUCCUACUCGGUUUUGCCGUCCGUCCUGGAAGACUGGCUUCUGUCCCACCGAAGUGUAAAAGGGCUCUGGGGGGCUCGGGUGGAGGUGACGGCCUUUCCCAGAGCGCCUCCACACACAGCCACCUCCGAGUCCUUGCUUGUGCGGGCGGGCAGGGCUGGAGCACGCAUCACGUCCUGCCGGCCCGCGUGUUGCCCACUAAGUGAUUUUCUUUUUUUCUUCUGUUUCCUGCGCCCCGUCCACGAGGUAGCGUUGGGGGAGCAGGGAAGGUUGGCUGGUUUCCACUCCUCCAGCACUGCGUUUCUCUGAACGAACAAUGUGCCGCCGCGCCGUGGGCUGGGGGCCGGGGGGUGUUGGGGCAGCCCCUGCUGCUGGUACGACCGGGGACUUGGGCGGCGGCCUGACCCACGGGGACCUUUGUUUCAUGUGUUCUGAAAAAGGCUUACUGAAGAGAAUAUUGUUCAUUCUUCGUAGUGUAGUUUGCAAUUCUUAAUGGCAAAUAAUAACAGUUUCAGUAGAAAACA